rnacentral:ncRNA from 1 species
UUCACGGAGAGUUUGAUCCUGGCUCAGGACGAACGCUGGCGGCGUGCUUAACACAUGCAAGUCGAACGAUGAACCACUUCGGUGGGGAUUAGUGGCGAACGGGUGAGUAACACGUGGGCAAUCUGCCCUGCACUCUGGGACAAGCCCUGGAAACGGGGUCUAAUACCGGAUACAACCACUGACCGCAUGGUCGGGUGGUGGAAAGCUCCGGCGGUGCAGGAUGAGCCCGCGGCCUAUCAGCUUGUUGGUGAGGUAA